AUAAGCCCUCUACAGCCCUGAACACACUUGAUCUUGUCUUAUCUCAGAAGCUAAGCAGGGUCUGGCCUGGUUAGUACUUCAACGGGAAGAGCGAAGACAUUAUACAGGGCAUUUG
ensembl:rRNA 5S_rRNA 5S ribosomal RNA